rnacentral:rRNA from 1 species
AUUGAACGCUGGCGGCAUGCCUUACACAUGCAAGUCGAACGGCAGCACGGGAGCAAUCCUGGUGGCGAGUGGCGAACGGGUGAGUAAAGUAUCGGAACGUGCCCAGUCGUGGGGGAUAACGUAGCGAAAGUUACGCUAAUACCGCAUACGAUCUAUGGCUGAGAGCGGGGGAUCGCAAGACCUCGCGCGAUUGGCGCGGCCGAUAUCAGAUUAGGGAGUUGGUGGGGUAAAGGCUCACCAAGCCGACGAUCUGUAGCUGGUCUGAGAGGACGACCAGCCACACUGGGACUGGGACACGGCCCAGACUCCUACGGGAGGCAGCAGUGGGGAAUUUUGGACAAUGGGCGAAAGCCUGAUCCAGCCAUGCCGCGUGCAGGAUGAAGGCCUUCGGGUUGUAAACUGCUUUUGUACGGAACGAAAAGGUUUGGCCUAAUAAGCUGAGCUCAUGACGGUACCGUAAGAAUAAGCACCGGCUAACUACGUGCCAGCCGCCGCCGUAA